rnacentral:rRNA from 1 species
GCAGCCGCCGCGGUAAUACGGAGGGUGCAAGCGUUAAUCGGAAUUACUGGGCGUAAAGCGCACGCAGGCGGUCUGACAAGUCAGAUGUGAAAUCCCCGGGCUUAACCUGGGAACUGCAUUUGAAACUGUCAGGCUGGAGUCUUGUAGAGGGGGGUGGAAUUCCAGGUGUAGCGGUGAAAUGCGUAGAGAUCUGGAGGAAUACCGGUGGCGAAGGCGGCCCCCUGGACAAAGACUGACGCUCAGGUGCGAAAGCGUGGGGAGCAAACAGGAUUAGAUACCCCUGUAGUCCCUGUCUCUUAUAC